AUGAUCCAGCAGCCUCUUUGUAUCACCACUGGUUAAAAACUGCUAUCUCUUAGGAACUGGUUUUCAUGCUGAGUUUAUGUUUUCCAGUCUUCCUGUAGUUAAAAUUUCCAGCCCCUUCUAGCCCAGAAUGGUCGUUUGCUUUUUCCACCUGUGUGUCAAGGCAACUUUUUUGGUUACCUUUGGUCCAAAUGCAUUUUUAAAGGCUUCUGAAUGUGGCACAAAAAGGAGCACAUCAACUGAAGGCAAUGAACCCUGUGAAAAGAAGCCCAGGGCACAACAAAUCACUCUAGAAGAUAUCUGUAACCCAUUGAAGACUCAGGAAAAAAAAGAACCUCAGAAGCAUGAAAAGCCCUGUAUAUGUUUGCAAACUCUAGACAGACUGAGAGAAUUCUGCAGUGAUUCAGACCAGCAGUGUACCAGAAUCCAGGAUGGUUUUCAGGAGAAAGAGUCCGAGAGUUUGAAAAAAUGUCCCAGUAUUACUGGGAGAAGUUCAGAAUUGAAGAUCCCUCUUCCAUCUUGGGACACUGACCCAAAGGUUGCUCAGAAGGAGGAGGUACGAUGUGAUCUUAGUCAGUUUUCUGCAUCUCUUAAGUCCUAUGAAAAUACUCAGAAUGCUUUGGAUACAAAUCUUAAUAAAAGAACCAAAAGCAUUUACACUCCAUUAGAACUUCAGUUCAUAGAAAUGAAGAAACAGUAUAAAGAUGCUGUUUUGUGUGUGGAAUGUGGAUACAAAUACCGCUUCUUUGGAGAAGAUGCAGAGAUUGCAGCUAGAGAACUGAACAUCUAUUGCCACCUGGAUCACAACUUCAUGACUGCCAGUAUUCCGAGCCACCGGCUGUUUGUCCACGUGCGGCGCCUCGUGGCGAAGGGACAUAAGGUUGGAGUAAUAAAACAAAUGGAAACUGCAGCGCUGAAAGCUGCUGGAGAAAACAAAAGCUCUCUCUUCAGCCGUAAGCUGACUGCUCUCUACACUAAGUCUACACUUAUUGGAGAAGAUGUGAACCCUUUGCUGAAGCUGGAUGAUUCUGUAGAUGUUGAAGAGGUAACAAGAGAUGUCCCUGAUAACUACCUCCUCUGUUGCUGUGAAAAUGGAGAAAACCUAAGGGGCAGGAAGACAGGUGACAUUGUUAUAGGCAUUAUGGUGAUCCAACCAACUACUGGAGAAGUAAUUUUUGACUGUUUUCGGGACUCUGCGUCUCGCUCAGAAUUGGAGAGUCGAGUUUUGCGCCUGCAGCCAGUUGAAAUAAUUCUUCCAUCCAGGUUGUCAGAUCAAUCUGAAAAGCUCAUCAGCAGUAUAACCUCCAGGAGGUCACAGGAUGACAGAAUUAGGAUAGAAAGGAUGCAAAACCUCAAUUUUGAAUACAACCAUGCUUUCCAGGUGAUUACUGACUUCUAUGCAAAAGAAGUGCCUGGUACCACAGGUCCUCAAAAACUAUCUGUAAUACUAAGCUUGGAUAAGCCUGUUAUUUGCUCUCUGGCAGCAGUAAUUGCAUACCUCAAAGAAUUUAAUUUGGAAAGGAUGCUUUACGAUCCAAGAAAUUUCAAACAGUUGUCCAGUGAAACUGAAUACAUGACAAUUAAUGGGACAACAAUGAAAAAUCUUGAAAUUUUGCAGAAUCAGAUGGACAUGAAAACAAAAGGAAGUCUACUCUGGGUCUUGAAUCAUACUAAAACUUCCUUUGGACGUCGAAGACUGAAGAAAUGGGUGACCCAGCCUCUCAUGAAAUCCAGUGAAAUAAAUGCCCGGCUUGAUGCUGUGUCUGAAAUUCUGCUGUCAGAAUCCAACGUGUUUGGUCAGAUUCAAAAUCUUCUUUGUAAGCUGCCAGAUUUAGAGAGAGGCCUCUGCAGUGUUUUUCACAAAAAGUGCUCAACACAAGAGUUCUUCCUGAUUGUCAGCACCCUGUCUCGCCUGCACUUGGAAAUCCAAGCUCUUGUCCCAGUGCUGCAUUCCCAUGUGAGAUCUCCGCUAUUAAAAAAUGCACUGUUGGAAGUCCCAGAGCUUCUCUCUCCAGUAAAACAUUAUUUAAAGAUCCUUAAUGAAGAAGCAGCCAAGACUGGAGAUAAAACCCAAUUGUUCAAGGACCUUACAGACUUUCCUGUCAUCAGAAAGAAAAAGGAGGACAUCCAGGGUGUGCUUUCUAAAAUCCAAUUGCAUCUGCCAGACAUUCGUAAACAGAUUAAGAAUCCUUCUGCUGAGUAUGUUACAGUUUCAGGUCAAGAGUUUCUGAUAGAAGUCAAGAAUUCCCAUAAAUCAUCUGUACCAUCUGACUGGGUUAUGAUUAGUAGCACAAAAGCUGUGAGCCGCUUCCACACUCCUUUUAUCAUAGAAAAUUACAGGCAUCUGAAUCAGCUCCAGGAGAAGCUCAUCCUUGACUGCAGCGCUGAGUGGCUGAACUUCUUAGACCAUUUCAGUGAACAUUAUCACUCUGUGUCUAAAGCCAUUGGUCACCUAGCAACUGUCGACUGCCUGUUCUCUCUUGCCCUGGUGGCUAAACAAGGAGACUAUUGCAGACCAGUUGUGCAAGAUAAUUGUCAAGAAAUAAUUAUAAAAAAUGGGAGGCACCCUGUGAUUGACGUACUCCUGGGAGAACAGGAUCAGUAUGUUCCAAAUACCACUAACCUUUCAGGAGAUGGUGAAAGGGUCAUGAUAAUAACUGGGCCUAACAUGGGAGGAAAGAGCUCCUACAUAAAGCAAGUGGCCUUGAUCACAGUCAUGGCACAGGUCGGUUCUUAUGUUCCUGCGGAGGAAGCGACAAUUGGAAUUGUGGAUGGUAUUUUUACCAGAAUGGGUGCAGCAGACAAUAUCUACAAAGGCCGAAGUACCUUCAUGGAAGAACUGACAGAUACUGCCGAGAUAAUAAGAAAAGCCACACCAAGAUCCCUGGUGAUCCUGGAUGAGUUGGGCAGAGGGACAAGCACACACGAUGGAAUUGCCAUCGCUUAUGCUACACUUGAACACUUUAUUAGAGAUGUGGAGUCCCUGACCCUGUUUGUCACUCACUAUCCCUUGGUUUGUGAGCUGGAGCAGCUGUAUCCAGACAAAGUUGGUAAUUACCACAUGGCUUUCCUGGUGAAUGAGGAGGAAACCGGUGAACAAAAAGGAUCUGAAGUUGAAGAGAAUCCUGAAUUUAUCACUUUUCUUUAUCAAAUAAUUAAAGGAAUCUCAGCAAGGAGUUAUGGGCUAAAUGUUGCCAAACUGGCAGAUAUUCCUGAAGAAAUCUUGAAGAAAGCAGCUCACAAAUCAAAGGAGUUGGAGAAAAUAGUGAAUAUGAAAAGAAAGAAAAUGAAGUGUUUUGCUGAAGCGUGGAAGAUAAAUGAUUCUCAGGAACUGCAGAAGUGGAAAAGUAUGUGUGAACCUGAAGAUGAAAGAAAGGACAGUUUUUAAUCCUCAGAUCAUGGUUAAAGAUGGAAGAUAUUGGAGGUGCAAAAUAUAGGUCUGGAGAGUAAUAGAUUCUAUCAGGGUAUAGUUCUGGUGCACUAAGUUGACUUUUUUGCCUUCUGAGAGAUAAAAGAUGCUGCAUUGUGUGUAAUUUUUCUCUCUCCACAUCCCUUCCCUUUUCACCCUUCUUCUUAAUUGCAAAAUGUGUACUGGCAUUGGAUCUAAUAGGUUUAGAAAAUAUGAAAAAAAUUACUGAUAAAUUAUUAGGUAAAUAUUUUAUAAAUAAAAUAAUGUGUUUCAUCUUUAUUGAACUUCAAUUUCUAAAGAAAUAUUUCUCUGUGUUAGGAGAAUGUAGCUGAGUCUCAGCUGUGCUGUACUGCUGUGCAACUGAAAAAUGUUAAUGCCUUUGUCCAUCUUGUCUUGAAGGUGUCACCUUCAGAGAUCACAGUGCCACAGGUGAGCAGCAAAAACUGGCAGAGCAUUUUGAUGAGAGAGAAGGAGAGGGAGGGCUGGGUGCACUGUCACUGCCUUUGUGUGUUUGGUUAUAUAAAAAAGUCAUUAUGGAAUACGCAGAGUAAAAUACAUUACCAGUACAAUUACCUCUAUUGCUGGCAGACAACAUCUGUCACUGAAGUAAUUCUCCAGAGGAUUUCUCUUUGUGUUGCAAAGUUUUCCAGCAGUAUUUAUAGAAAUUACAUGAAUAUGCCUAUCACAUAUGUUUACAAAGUGUAUAAAUCAAUUUAAAGAUCAUUGCAAUGUCAGCUCGGUCAGGUAUUGCGAUAAAGUGUGUUUACCACAAUGAAGUUAAUGUUUAUUUUUGAAGUGUGUUUGAAAGUAAAUUAUCCAAAUAUUUCUACUAUAUGUAAAAUUAUUGAGAAUUUGAUUCUAUUCUUUUAGUAGAAAUACCUUGCUAGUUCUGAUAUGUUUCCUAGGGAAAUAAAGGUGGAUUGUGUUGCACUGA